rfam:Vittaforma corneae ATCC 50505 unplaced genomic scaffold supercont1.1, whole genome shotgun sequence.
GCCCCAAUGGCUCAGUGGUAAAGCACUCGGUUUGGGUCCGAGAGAUCCCGGGUUCGAUCCCCGGUUGGGGCC